rnacentral:rRNA from 1 species
AACGAACGCUGGCGGCAGGCUUAACACAUGCAAGUCGAACGCGUGUAGCAAUACACGAGUGGCGCACGGGUGAGUAACGCGUGGAUAUCUGCCUUUUGGUUCGGAAUAACCCCGGGAAACUGGGGCUAAUACCGGAUGGUUCCUUCGGGAUAAAGAUUUAUCGCCAAAAGAUGAGUCCGCGUACGAUUAGCUAGUUGGUGAGGUAAUGGCUAACCAAGGCGACGAUCGUUAGCUGGUCUGAGAGGACGAUCAGCCACACUGGGACUGAGACACGGCCCAGACUCCUACGGGAGGCAGCAGUGGGGAAUAUUGGACAAUGGGGGCAACCCUGAUCCAGCCAUGCCGCGUGAGUGAUGAAGGCCUUCGGGUUGUAAAGCUCUUUUGGCGGGGACGAUGAUGACGGUACCCGCAGAAUAAGCCCCGGCUAACUUCGUGCCAGCAGCCGCCGUAA